ACAUACAAAGCAUACAAUACUCAAAAUAAGGACAGAGUUACCCUCCUUCUUCGCGAUCGGAGAAGAUCGGCCUUCAAUCAACAGAGAAAACCCUAGGUCCAACACCGGAAACCCUAGGUUCUGAAACUCACGGAGUAAGGUCAUAGACACCGGAAAGUUACCCAAAGCGUCCAUCAAGCGAAGAAAAAGUCAUCGGAUAACACCAAAACUCUAGGUCCGAAAGUCGGAAAACCGUAGAAUUUGAAGAACUCGUCGGAACAAAAAUCAGAGAUGUCGGAAAAUCACCCAAAACAUCUACUGAUACAGGAUCAGAGCCUCAAACAGUCAGAAAAGUCCUGAUUAACCGAUUAACAUUCAUCGAAAAAAAAUAUACGAACAGUAUUUUUCUCAGAUAACCGAAGAAAAACUUCAGCGAAAGCUUCAUCAAGUAUCGAUAACACUUAACAUAGAAGGAUCGGAAGAUUUUCCCGCUCUGUACUAUGAAAACAUGAAGAUUUGAAGAUGAAAAUCAGAGAAGAUGAAGAUGAACAGGAAGCGUUACAACGAGAGAAUGGGAAGCUUCUGGAGAAAGCCAGAAGUCAGAUAACCGAAGAAAAACUUCAGUGAAAGCUUCAUCAAGUAUCGAUAACACGUAACAGAGAAGGAUCGGAAGAUUUUUCCGCUCUGAUACCAUGAAAACAUGAAGAUUUGAAGAUGAAAAUCAGAGAAGAUGAAGAUGAACAGGAAGCGUUACAGAGAGAGAAUGGGAAGCUUCUGGAGAAAGCCAGAAGAUGAA
rnacentral:lncRNA from 1 species